ACUAAGAAAGCUCCAGGAUUUCCAUAUACACACUUAAAAAUGUCCGAUGACACGCAACAACAUACAUUGCUUUUGACAUAUUUUGAAUUGUCAUCUGUGUUUUCGUCAUCGCAUAGGCUAAAUACAAAGGUAUGUCCACC